rnacentral:rRNA from 1 species
UACAGAGGUCUCAAGCGUUGUUCGGAUUCACUGGGCGUAAAGGGUGCGUAGGUGGUUUGGUAAGUCUGAUGUGAAAUCUCCGAGCUCAACUCGGAAACGGCAUUGGAUACUAUCGAGCUAGAGGAUUGGAGGGGGGACUGGAAUUCUUGGUGUAGCAGUGAAAUGCGUAGAUAUCAAGAGGAACACCAGUGGCGAAGGCGAGUCCCUGGACAAUUCCUGACACUGAGGCACGAAAGCUAGGGGAG